UACGUAGGUGACCAGCGUUGUCCGGAUUUACUGGGCGUAAAGAGCGCGCAGGCGGUCGUUCAAGUCGAGUGUGAAAGCCCCCGGCUCAACUGGGGAGGGUCAUUCGAUACUGAUCGACUGGAAGGCAGGAGAGGGAAGCGGAAUUCCCGGUGUAGUGGUGAAAUGCGUAGAUAUCUGGAGGAAUACCGGUGGCGAAGGCGGCAUCCUGGACCGACAUUGACGCUGAGGAGCGAAAGCUAGGGGAGCAAACGGGG
rnacentral:rRNA from 1 species